GCCACCCUAACUCUAUAAAAAAGGCGAGGUUCUGCCAAACAAGAGAGGGCUGAUCUGGGUGGACUCGGCUUUGCAAGCGUUAAAGGAAACCGAGCUGCCUUCCUAGAGAGGACAGGAAGCAAGAGGGGGCCAGGUCCUCCAGAGCCAAGGCCCCUCCCUCCCCAGUCCUUUCCUGCAAGGAAGAGGGGGUGUUGCUUUGGUGUCUCUCCUGCAAGGGCUACAUCGCUGUCCCGUCCUGGGAUCUGAUGAGUCUCCUCUCUCUCCCCCCCAGCCCAGAGGGUGCAGUAGGGAGGUGGUGGGGUUUCCCAGGGCUGCAGCAGGGGAAGAUGCCUGGGAGGCCUGAUCUGCUCAUGCAGGGGGGGGACCCCCAAGUCAGUGAGGAGAGGGUCCUGCCAGGGAGGGGCGAGGUCUGCAACACUCUCCUUCCUGGAGAUCAGAGAGUCCCAAACUCAUUUGGCCUUUCAGGGGGGGGGGAAUGACUCCUGACUUUGUAUGCAGGAGUUUUCAAGUUCAAUCCUUGGAAUCUCCAGCUAUCUAGUUGGCAGCUAGACAGCUCUGUUGGUCAGAGUAUGGUGUUGGUUAUGCCAAGGUUGCAGGCAUGAUCCCCAUAAGGGAAAGCUGCAUAUUCCUGCAUUGCAGGGGGUUGGACUAGAGCAGGGGUCGGCAACCUGAGGCUCCGGAGCCGCAUGCGGCUCUUUUGCACCUUUGCCACGGCUCCGGGGCGAGCGCUUUGGCUUUUCUCGAGCGCGAGGCUAACUGCCGCGGCCGCUUUAAGCAUGCGGAAGCAAGGCAUGGAAAGGGAGACCACGCGCUUCCCCUUUAAGAACAGAACCUCCAUUCUCACUCCUCACCUGGCAAAAGGUAUCAAAUAUGGUGUGCGGGGACGGGCUGGCGCAGCACGGACCAAUAGGAGCGCGUGGUUUUCCGCAGCGGGAAAGCUUGGCGCUUUAAAAAAAAGAGAGUAGGAACGGAAAGAGAAAGGGCUGGGCAGCCAUCGGGUGCGCUCUAGCCCCAAUCCAGAUCUGUCCUUGCCCCUGGCGGCCCUGGCAGGUCCUCCACUCCCCCCCCCCCAUCCUGAGGGCGGCUGCCCACUUGCUGCUCCUGGACUGCUCAGUUUCUGAUCUCAUUCAAGAAAGUGGCUGGAUUUAAACAUAAGGAUCUGCAACAAGUCUUUACAAGCUUCCCAAGAAGGAAAAGAAAGAGAAAUUUCCCAAGAAGGAAAAGAAAGAGAAGGAAAAGAAAGAGAAAUUUAAUGCUUUCAGGCAAAGUUCAUUGGGAAACCUCGAUCUCACCCCCACUCCCAAUCUGAGCAUGCUCACACACUUUCACAGAGCAUGCUGCUGUUUCAGCUGAAAAGAUCUAAGAAUGCUGCAUUUCCAGGGAACCCACACUUCUGAUUUUGCCUGAGUUUUCUUUAAGCACUGUAGAGAUCACCCAUCCAGUGGUUGCACAUUUCUCUCUUGCAGCAAACAAUUUUUAUACGAGUUCCUCUUUGGGCUUUCCUUCUAUUUGUGCAGUCCUUGUGACUGUUGGUGCAGCCUUCCAACCGGUACCCCACUCUGUUACCUGCAAAAAGAUUGGGAAAGUGAGUAAAAGGAGAGAAGCGAAAACAGAUGGGAUUUCAGCUCACCGGGUUCUCCUGAAGGCCGCAGAUGUGAGCUUUGCGCCUCUCUCCCUAAGCCGAUGCUGGAGCCCUGCUACCUCCUACCCAAAGCUGGGUGGGCUGUGGAAAAGUGCAGUCGUGGAGGAACCCUCUCCAGCACCCCGGGCGGGACACCGAGGGGCGGGACAAACCGCCCGGUGGCACGUGCGCAACGUCCAUACCGACUGAGCACGCGCAGCAGCCCAGCCCAUACAGUCGCCGUACGAGCGGCAGCCCAUACGGAUGCUGCACGAGUGGCAGCCCAUAUGGACUACCCACACGCAGCAUAACGUAUGGACUGCGCACGCAAGGCAGCCCACACAGUUGCUGUGUGAGUGGCAGCCCGUACAGAUGCCCGUAUGGCAUAGCUGCCAAGUACCCCGUUUUCCCCGGGAAACCCCCGUUUUUACUUACCUUUUCUCGGUGGUCCCCCAUAUCACUUCAUCUCCCGUUUUUCUCCGUUAUUUUCUCCUGCCGGCGGCCAUUUUUUUUCUUUCCGAUUUGCCCUUCUAUGGGCACCAAAAAUGGCCACCGCCGGCUUCAAAAGUCACAUCUACGCAUGUCCGGAAGUGCAUAGACGCAACUUCCGGUGUCACACGGCUGCCGGUCCCGGAUUCUGCAGUCCAGAACUUGGAAGGUAAGCCGUAUGGACACCGCACGUGCGGCACCCAUACUGACUGCGCAUGCACCCUCGGCUACUCUACAGCUGGGGGGAGGCAGCGGGCCAUCUUGUCAAACCCCCCCCCCCAGGGUGGCAACUGGGGCUACCCGCCCCCUCCGCCCGCCCCCUCAUACACCCCUGGGAAGGUGGCAGGAGGACUCUUGGACCCCAUCUGGGCAUCACACUGCCCCACACCACCACCUUAAUCUGGGCAGAAGCUUCCCAGGCUUUGGAAAGGAGGCACCAGGUUUUCAUACUUUAAUAUUCCAAUUCACCAGGAACAUUUAGGAAACUAGGGCUACUGCCCAUAGUCCACUGUCUUGCACAUCACUGCUUUAAAUGAGGAGCAGACAAAUUCAUAGAGGAGAGGACUAUCGGUGGCUCUUCUUCCACAGCUGGAGGCAGCAAUGCCAGUUACUGGAAGCCACAGGAGUGGAGAGUGCUGUUGCGCUUAAGUCCCGCUUGCGUGCUUCCCACAGGUUGGCCCCUAUGAGAACAGGAUGCUGGGCUAGGUGGGCAAUUGGACUGAUCCAGCCUGCGUGCACGUCAAACAUUUGAAACACAUUAUUUCCCCAAGGAUUCCGAGGACCUGCAGUUUGUUGAGGAUGCUGGGAACUGUGGCUCUGUGAGGAGCAUACUAAAUUUCCCAGGGUUGUUUGCGGGAAGAGAUGUGCUUUCAAUGCUGCCCAGGAGGGAAUAUGUGUGACCUAUCCAGACAAUGAGAGAGUUCUCUCUGUCCUUUUUCCCCCCUAUCUACAUAUCUCUUUCUCCCUUCUUCUCCAGCCGUUCCGUUCUCCUUCCCACCUGCUUUUUCCGUUUUAUUUUUCAAAUAAAACAUUCUGUGCCUGUUGAGUAUGCCCUGUCCUCGUGGUGUUAUUCCAACCUUCUUUUAUUUUAACUUUAUUUCUUUAAUAAUUAUUUAUUACAUUUGUGGGUGGGGGAGAGAUUCUCAAGGUUGUUUUUGCUGUUGUUGUUCUGCAAACCUGAGGACACGCCCUGCCCCGCCCCAGGUCUGCCAAUGCUCCCCUCUUGUACACAGAUACUAUGUUUAGCUACAAAAGCAUGGAAAUCACCCUAACGGUUCAGAAAAAGCAUAUAACAUUGCUCAUGGCCACCCAACGUGAGUUCAACUUACCCACAUAGAAAGUGAUAGAAAUACACUGUUCGUUACGUUUUGGGAAACAUACGUUUACUUUUUGGUCACAGCCUGAUUCGGGGGUAUCCCUCAUACAGUAGCGGCACAUCAGGCUGUAGGCUGCAAUGGCAAAAUGUUGGAAAUGGCAUUCAAAACAGUAUGACUCCCUACCCUCCAACAUUUCUCCAAUGAAAAUAGGGAUGUCCUAUUUUGUUGCUGCUGCUGCUGCUGCUGUUGUAUUUAUACCCCACACAUCUUACUGGGUUGCCCCAGCCACUGUGGGCAGCUUCCAACAUAUAUAAAAACAUAAUAAAACAGUAAACAUAAAAAACCCUCCCUAUCCAGGGUUGCCUUUAGAUGUCUUCUAGAGGCAGUAUAGUUACUUAUCUCUUUGGCUUGGGCCAUACCCUCCAGCAUUUCUCCAAUGAAAAUAGGGACGUCGUAAGGAAAUGCAGGAAAACAUUCUGGGAUCAAAUCAGAAAACGGGGUGGCUUCUGUAAAUCCAGGGAAAUAGGGACACUUGGAGGGUCUGUGAUUUUCACUGAAGACAAUUGUAGGGUUGUAGGCUUCUAGAUGGGAGGCCUACCGCUAACGUUUUGAUUAUUUAUUUGUAUGGCUCAGUACACAGCAUGAUAAACUGGGAAACACUGGCCUGCAAGCGCUCCAGUUGGAGAACAGCCUUUACCAAGAACAGUCACCAAGAUGGCCGUCGCCAUGCGGCCACCACCAAGAUGGCCACCGGGCAUGCAUAGAAGCAACUUCCGGUGCCGCUCUGCGCGAUUUCCGGUGCCCACACAUGGGAAGAGCGGCCCCGGAAGUUGCUUCUAUGCAACUUCCAGUGCCGCGCCACUGCUGAUCCCGCAUUUUUCAGCGGGAGACUUGGCAGGUAUGCCCAGUGUCUUUAGAAAGCAUUCCAGACCCCCUCCUCCAGAACCUGGCGAGCCUUGAAAGUAAGUGAGCAAAGAGCUCAAAGGCAGAGGGCACUUGUCAGCACCUGUAGGGGUGACGAAUGAGGAAGUGGGAGAGAUGGGGAGAGGGUGGAGAUUCACUAAGGCAAUGGCAUUAUCCAAGAGGCUGGGUUCUAUAGCCUCUCUCUGUAAAUACUGAAUAAAAAGCAGACGGUAAGAACAUUCCUUGCCUUUGUACGUUCCGGGGCAACCAGCAGUGGGAGUUGCUGGCAACAGCCUGACAAUAACACAGGGGGAACCAGGGCAUUCACCUUACAACCCUACAAGCGGUAGGUGGCAGGCAAUAGAGAAGGUGUCAUGGAACCCAUGGUUCAGAAGGCACCAAGACUAGUGGAAUGGGACAGAUAGUGUUGUGGGACCGGGCAUAGGGGCAGGGUUGAUCUGAUUUCAGGUGUCCUUGGAAAUCAGUUAAACCCUGCCCCAGUUUUGAGGGAUGUGUUUUGUUUUAUUUCGCAGCCUGUCUGAUUCAACCCAGGAGGAAGUGGAGAGUUUGCCGAUUGCGAUUUGGGACAUACCUGAGAGGGCAUGGCAAAGCAGAACACAGACUGUGAAGGAGAAACCUCUCAUCAUGCUGGUCUUCCAGACUAGAUCUCUGGCAGAGAAGAUGCUGUGGUGAAGAAAAGGGAGGGUAUAAAGGGAGCAAGUCCUGACCUGGAGAGACUCACACGCAUAUGUCCAAGACUUACACCAUGAGCUGGAUACAGAGUUAACUUCCCAAAUGUCCAACAACUGAAGCAAAACUAAGCAAGAAGCUAUUGUACUAGAAUGCAGGAUUCCUGACUUCCUUUCUUGUGCCACGUUUACUGUCAUUUCCCACCCCCACCCCCCUGGUUUGUUCCCCACUUCUCAUCCCAUCCUUGGAGGCACCUAAACCUUCUGCGUCCUGAAGACUCACCUCCUUUAUCUCCGGAAGGGUUUUGCUGCUCCUUGGUAUCCUCUGCAGCUCAAUCCAAAGGGGAAAGAUGGCUACUGAGGCUUAUAGGACACUUCCAGCUCUCGCAAAUAGCACCCAGUGAGAAGGCAGCUGCCAAUAUGUGUGUAUGCAAAGGGCAGUGACCGCCGGGCUCUGCCUUCUCCAGGGGAGGAGGAGGCAUCUUAGGUAAGAGUCCACAUCAGAGGGCACAGAGUGAGAGCUGUGGCAUGCAAAAAAAAAAAAUGGG